CAGGGAAGUUGUGGAAACAUCAUCUGGAGCAUUAGGAUAUGGCGUGGCACAUUCAAAGGCUCAACAUUUAGUCAUUUAGAUUCUUAUUAAAGUUGUAAUUUCGUUUCCUAGAAGUCCUUAACUAGAAUUAGGUGUUUUGGACCCUUUUAGGGGCAAUUUUGUAAAAAACCCAUAUGUAGGACAUGUGCCUUUUAGGUUAGGAUUUUUAAUUGAUUGUGGACCCCAUUUGGAAGGCAACUCUAGGUAUUUGGAGGAGAAUUGCCGAAACACACUUAGGCUCUCAUUACAAACACUUCAUACUUUUGGUUUUAGAGUUUUUCUCUCUUAGGGUUUCUUGUAUGAACAUGCCUUGAAGGAGCUUGUCUUGGUGAUUUCGGUUUUGAGCCAUUUCAAUAAACAAGAUGCAGAUUUUCUUUGUUUCUUAACUCACUCUUGGUUAUCUUAGCUUGUUGGUGGUGAAAAACAAUUCAUUUCCACUUCCAUUUGCUUGUUUUUGAUGCUUGGAGCUUGAGCUUUGGAGCUUGUCUUUGCAUUUCCAUGGUGGAUGUUGGGUUUGAGUAACUUUAUAUUUCGUUUUCCUNNN
rnacentral:lncRNA from 1 species